GCCAGUGCAAUCGGGCCAAUUGCGGCUGAAUGUCGGCUCACUUGGCUGGCCCAGUAAUGGUUGCCAGAUUUGGCUAGGCUUUGGAUGUGCAGACCUGGCCCGGUUUGCACUGAGACACGGCACAUUUAACCACAUUACGGACCGGUCCGUAUGGGCAUGUAUACCUGGACCAGUUUAGGUUGAGUGCUGGGGGCUUUUUGUGCUGCUAAUUGCCAGAAGACCAGAAGAACUUGCUACCCUGUGCAAAGAAAUGCAAGUACUGGCAGUGCAUCAGAUGGAGAGAUUUAAAAGGUCAACAAAAGAUGGCUGCUGCUCACUUUGGACAGAGAUGGGGGAAGAAAAGAGUGGGUCCGAACGCAAACAAAUUCUUCUAAAGUCUGUCCCUCUUUUAGAGUACGCUUACUUGAGGAAUCUCCUGGAUUUUAUUUUUUUUCAAAUAAAUUCUAAUAUCGCU